rnacentral:rRNA from 1 species
GACGAACGCUGGCGGCGUGCUUAACACAUGCAAGUCGAACGAUGAAGCUGGAGCUUGCUCCGGUGGAUUAGUGGCGAACGGGUGAGUAACACGUGAGCAAUCUGCCCUUGACUCUGGGAUAACUGCGGGAAACUGUAGCUAAUACCGGAUACUUUCACCGGAAGGCAUCUUCUGGUGAAGAAAGAAUUUCGGUCAAGGAUGAGCUCGCGGCCUAUCAGCUUGUUGGUGAGGUAACGGCUCACCAAGGCGACGACGGGUAGCCGGCCUGAGAGGGUGACCGGCCACACUGGGACUGAGACACGGCCCAGACUCCCACGGGAGGCAGCAGUGGGGAAUAUUGCACAAUGGGCGCAAGCCUGAUGCAGCAACGCCGCGUGAGGGAUGAAGGCCUUCGGGUUGUAAACCUCUUUUAGCAGGGAAGAAGCGAAAGUGACGGUACCUGCAGAAAAAGCACCGGCUAACUACGUGCCAGCAGCCGCCGUAA